GACAGCACCACUUAGCAUCCACGGACGAGUAAUAAGAUUGUCCGCUCUAGCUCGUUGACACUUAAUUGAAAUUGAAAUAUAACUAACAAUAAAAGGCAAAUAAAUUUGUUACCCACGUAAUAUUCUUCCCUCCAAAUUUGUAUCAAGUCUUCACCAAAAAGCCACUACCGCAGCAUCACACAUCACAACAGACGAAAUCCCAAGGUGAUGAUGCUUCAACAAUGAAAUGAAGAAGGCAGCUUGACAUUCGCUUAUGUGCCUUGUCUAUGGCAUCUGUUAGUGAUUCCAGAUUGCUGACGAACUAUCGUCUUCUGCUACUUCUAGGUUUCGAUGACCAUCGAAACUUGGAGAGCUGGACUCCUAUUGGUUCAAAGGGUUCAACGCAAGUCGCGUAACAUAAUAAAACAUGGCAGCGCGCAGCCGCACAAUUUGCAAAUGCUAAAGCAAGAUUGCAACUGCACUCAUAGUUUGAAUAAAACAAAAACUACAUGUUCAUCGGUAACCGAGCAAUGCAAGCCAACAGAGCUCAAUAAGAGAUUGCUACACUAUCUAAGGCAGUUGUAGACCCACAAGAGCUCCAGGCCGUUCCUUAAGUCUUUAACUGUAAUGUGUAAUGCCACAACUUUAUCAGAUUAUCAAGAAUCCCAUAGACAAAUGUACUAAGAUCACAAAGAGUCGCUACCGAUUGGCAACAAACUAUAUAUAUUUUAAUUGCAGGCAGAGGAUCAAAUCUGUUUGCAUCCUUUGUUUGAAAGUUUCAAAAUUAAUUCUGUAAAAAUUGAAAGUUCAGAAUUCAGAUUCAUCAGUUCAACAAAUGAUGCGAUGUUUCAACGUAAUAAACAUAAACGACCAUCUAUUAUAUGUAUAUAUAAUAUGAUAAUGUGGUUUCAUAAAUCUUCGUUCGUUUUUGUGUUCAUCUCGAAGCUUCUCAAAAACGUCCCGUCAUACAACUAAUUCUUUGGUGCGCGGUGAGGGAAUGGGUUUUCUGGGUGCUUGUCCAUUCUUU